CGGCAAGAGCUCAAAUUUGAAAGCUGGCCCCCUCGGGGUCCGCGUUGUAAUUUGCAGAGGAUGCUUCGGGUGCAGCCCCCGUCUAAGUGCCCUGGAACGGGCCGUCAUAGAGGGUGAGAAUCCCGUCUGGGACGGGGUGUCUGCGUCCGUGUGAAGCUCCUUCGAC
rnacentral:rRNA from 1 species